AUAGAGAUUGUUAGUAACUAGUAAAGCCUACUACACAUCUAUCUUAGCUUCUGAGAACUUAAAUAUAACUUUGGAACAAAAAACUGAUGCUGACUAGGUAAAUAUGAACUUUUGGGCAAUCUUUCUUAAAAGUUGCUUACAGAUUGAGGCCACCACGGCAGCCAGUGUCACUGUUUAUCAGGGAGUGCUAUUGUACCACGCUGGGAAGGAGCUGAAGUGUGCUAUUCAGGGUGCUGCUGAGCAUAACAACCCCACAGCCGGUGUUCUGGGUAGCUGUGGUUCUUUAUUUUGGCCUCAAGCUAGUGAGCACAUUCAGUGGGAUUCAAGGGCAUCUGGCAUGGAAGAGACCUGCACUUCUAUGGUUACAUCCAAACUUUAUUUCUUUCUUUUUUCAUGCUUCCAGGUUCUCCUUCGCACUCUUUGUCCAGCCCAUCAAACCCAGGUUUUCCAUGAGAGGAGUGAGAGUACACAAAUGCUGUAGAACCGAGACAAAUAAAACUACUUCUCGCAUAGAUGGGAAGACUGUAACCUAGAAAUAUUAAGCUGUGACAGCCUGCCAGAACUUCUCCUGCAAUUGAUGGAGUUUCUCUAAAGACACUUCAUAAAAGCAGCAGCAUCGAACAGAGUGACCCUACAGGUGCAAACUGCAGCAGCUCUCCCUCCAGUCUUCCCAAUAAGGUUUGUUGAAACUCUGUGUAUCUCAACAUCUUUAUUGGUAAUGGAUCCCUCCCUUAAUUUGCACUGAUGCAUUUGGAAUGUCAGCUUCCAAAACAAGGCACAUGGGCGGCAUUUAAAGUAGAUUUUUUGAAAGGAAAAUGAACAAAGAGCAUGUCAGGUUCCAUUUUGAUUUGCAUGACAAAUCCUGCAUGCAGUGUUCUGGUGGGUCGGGCUGGGCUUGCCUGCCACUCACUGCGUUUGUCACUUUGGUUUGAACACUUCUGACAGUCCGUUAUGUUAAUUGUUCUAAGGAUUGUUUUGCUGGGGAGGAAGAAAAGGAAAGGCAUUUGUAUUUUUGUACUCGUUCCAUUUACAGGAAAGGAGGGAUUUCUGAAGGAACACACAAUGUUUUCAGUCUGUUUGUGAUCUAUUUGAUUUGUAAAUAAUCCUGUGAGGUCAUCAGCAA